rnacentral:rRNA from 1 species
GACGAACGCUGGCGGCGUGCUUAACACAUGCAAGUCGAACGGAAAGGCCCAGCUUGCUGGGUGCUCGAGUCGCGAACGGGUGAGUAACACGUGGGUGAUCUGCCCCUAACUUCGGGAUAAGCUUGGGAAACUGGGUCUAAUACCGGAUAGGACAAUCGUUUAGUGUCGGUUGUGGAAAGUUUUUUCGGUUAGGGAUGAGCCCGCGGCCUAUCAGCUUGUUGGUGGGGUAAUGGCCUACCAAGGCGUCGACGGGUAGCCGGCCUGAGAGGGUGGACGGCCACAUUGGGACUGAGAUACGGCCCAGACUCCUACGGGAGGCAGCAGUGGGGAAUAUUGCACAAUGGGCGCAAGCCUGAUGCAGCGACGCCGCGUGGGGGAUGACGGCCUUCGGGUUGUAAACCUCUUUCGACAGGGACGAAGCUUUGGUGACGGUACCUGUAUAAGAAGCACCGGCUAACUACGUG